UACGUAGGUGGCGAGCGUUGUCCGGAAUUACUGGGUGUAAAGGGCGUGUAGGCGGGGAGGCAAGUCAGAUGUGAAAUCCCGAGGCUCAACUUCGGAGCUGCAUCUGAAACUGUUUUUCUUGAGUACUGGAGAGGAAAGUGGAAUUCCUAGUGUAGCGGUGAAAUGCGUAGAGAUUAGGAGGAACACCAGUGGCGAAGGCGGCUUUCUGGACAGUAACUGACGCUGAGGCGCGAAAGCGUGGGGAGCAAACAGGAUUAGAUACCCUGGUAGUCCACGCCGUAAACGAUGGAUACUAGGUGUGGGAGGUAUCGACCCCUUCCGUGCCGGAGUUAACACAAUAAGUAUCCCACCUGGGGAGUACGGCCGCAAGGCUGAAACUCAAAGGAAUUGACGGGGGCCCGCACAAGCAGUGGAGUAUGUGGUUUAAUUCGAAGCAACGCGAAGAACCUUACCAGGGCUUGACAUACCGAUGACCGGGUUAGAGAUAACCCUUCCCUUCGGGGCAUUGGAUACAGGUGGUGCAUGGUU
rnacentral:rRNA from 1 species